CCCUUAGAUGUUCUGGGCUGCACGCGCGCUACAAUGGCACAAUCAUCGAGUUCCUAAACUGAAAAGAUAUGGUAAUCUUAUAAAAUUGUGUCGUGACGGGGAUAGAAUAUUGCAAUUAUUAUUCUUAAACGAGGAAUUCCUAGUAAGCGCGAGUCAUCAGCUCGCGUUGAUUAUGUCCCUGCCCUUUGUACACACCGCCCGUCGCUCCUACCGAUUGGGUGAUCCGGUGAACAAUUCGGACCGUGGCUUGGCCCUCGGGCUUAGUCAUGGAAAGUUUCGUGAACCUUAUCACCUAGAGGAAGGAGAAGUCGUAACA
rnacentral:rRNA from 1 species